GACGAACGCUGGCGGCGUGCCUAAUACAUGCAAGUCGAACGCAGUGGGGACGGGUUAGUGACACCUGGGUAACCUCCCGUCAGAGGGGAUAACACUUGGAAACAGGUGCUAACCCGCUAUUGAUGGAUCGACCCGCGGUGCAUUAGCUAGUGGGUGGGGUAACGGCUCACCAAGGCGACGAUGCAUAGCGGAGCUGAGAGGGUGACCGGCCACACUGGGACUGAGACACGGCCCAGACUCCUACGGGAGGCAGCAGUAGGGAAUCUUCGACAAGGGGCGAAAGUCUGACCGAGCCACGCCGCGUGAGUGAAGAAGGUUUUCGGAUCGUAAAACUCUGUUGUUGGGGAAGCGGUAUCUGAAGAGAAAGCAACGGCUAACUACGUGCCAGCAGCCGCGGUAAUAC
rnacentral:rRNA from 1 species